AGAGUUUGAUCCUGGCUCAGGAUGAACGCUGGCGGCGUGCUUAACACAUGCAAGUCGAACGGGAAACCUUUUAUUGAAGCUUCGGCAGAUUUAGAUUGUUUCUAGUGGCGAACGGGUGAGUAACGCGUGAGUAACCUGCCCUAGAGUGGGGGACAACAGUUGGAAACGACUGCUAAUACCGCAUAAGCCCACGGUACCGCAUGGUACUGAGGGAAAAGGAUUUAUUCGCUUUAGGAUGGACUCGCGUCCAAUUAGCUAGUUGGUGAGGUAACGGCCCACCAAGGCGACGAUUGGUAGCCGGACUGAGAGGUUGAACGGCCACAUUGGGACUGAGACACGGCCCAGACUCCUACGGGAGGCAGCAGUGGGGGAUAUUGCACAAUGGGGGAAACCCUGAUGCAGCGACGCCGCGUGGAGGAAGAAGGUUUUCGGAUUGUAAACUCCUGUCGUUAGGGACGAUAAUGACGGUACCUAACAAGAAAGCACCGGCUAACUACGUGCCAGCAGCCGCGGUAAAACGUAGGGUGCAAGCGUUGUCCGGAAUUACUGGGUGUAAAGGGAGCGCAGGCGGGAAGACAAGUUGGAAGUGAAAACCAUGGGCUCAACCCAUGAAUUGCUUUCAAAACUGUUUUUCUUGAGUAGUGCAGAGGUAGAUGGAAUUCCCGGUGUAGCGGUGGAAUGCGUAGAUAUCGGGAGGAACACCAGUGGCGAAGGCGGUCUACUGGGCACCAACUGACGCUGAGGCUCGAAAGCAUGGGUAGCAAACAGGAUUAGAUACCCUGGUAGUCCAUGCCGUAAACGAUGAUUACUAGGUGUUGGGGGAUUGACCCCCUCAGUGCCGCAGUUAACACAAUAAGUAAUCCACCUGGGGAGUACGACCGCAAGGUUGAAACUCAAAGGAAUUGACGGGGGCCCGCACAAGCAGUGGAGUAUGUGGUUUAAUUCGAAGCAACGCGAAGAACCUUACCAGGUCUUGACAUCCGAUGCAUAACACAGAGAUGUGUGAAAUCCUUCGGGACAUCGAGACAGGUGGUGCAUGGUUGUCGUCAGCUCGUGUCGUGAGAUGUUGGGUUAAGUCCCGCAACGAGCGCAACCCUUAUCUUUAGUAGCCAGCGGUUAAGCCGGGCACUCUAGAGAGACUGCCAGGGAUAACCUGGAGGAAGGCGGGGAUGACGUCAAAUCAUCAUGCCCCUUAUGACUUGGGCUACACACGUGCUACAAUGGCGUAAACAAAGGGAAGCAAAGCUGUGAAGCCGAGCAAAUCUCAAAAAUAACGUCUCAGUUCGGACUGUAGUCUGCAACCCGACUACACGAAGCUGGAAUCGCUAGUAAUCGCAGAUCAGAAUGCUGCGGUGAAUACGUUCCCGGGUCUUGCACACACCGCCCGUCA
rnacentral:rRNA from 1 species